AACGAACGCUGGCGGCAGGCUUAACACAUGCAAGUCGAGCGCCCCGCAAGGGGAGCGGCAGACGGGUGAGUAACGCGUGGGAAUCUACCCAGCUCUACGGAAUAACUCAGGGAAACUUGUGCUAAUACCGUAUACGUCCUCCGGGAGAAAGAUUUAUCGGAGCUGGAUGAGCCCGCGUUGGAUGAGCUAGUUGGUGGGGUAAUGGCCCACCAAGGCGACGAUCCAUAGCUGGUCUGAGAGGAUGAUCAGCCACAUUGGGACUGAGACACGGCCCAAACUCCUACGGGAGGCAGCAGUGGGGAAUAUUGGACAAUGGGCGAAAGCCUGAUCCAGCCAUGCCGCGUGAGUGAUGAAGGCCCUAGGGUUGUAAAGCUCUUUCACCGGUGAAGAUAAUGACGGUAACCUGAGAAGAAGCCCCGGCUAACUUCGUGCCAGCCGCCGCCGUAA
rnacentral:rRNA from 1 species